UACGUAGGGGGCGAGCGUCAUCCGGAUUCAUUGGGCGUAAAGCGCUCGUAGGCGGUCCGUUAGGUCGGGAGUCAAAUCCGGGGGCUCAACCCCCGCCCGCUCCCGAUACCGGCGGACUUGAGUUUGGUAGGGGAAGGCGGAAUUCCAAGUGUAGCGGUGGAAUGCGCAGAUAUUUGGAAGAACACCGGUGGCGAAGGCGGGUCUCUGGGUAGUAACUGACGCUGAGGAGCGAAAGCAUGGGUAGCGAACAGG
rnacentral:rRNA from 1 species